AUGAAGGAAAACAACAACAACAUGGGUCCUCUUCUUUUUUCCUCCAAAUCUCCACAGGCUAUAUAUCUAGAGAGAGUAUCACCGGCUAUGAUCUUCCUUCCUGCCUUCCUUGAUUCAUCAGACUUCUGGAACACCGACCACAACCAGCUUCAGCUGCAACAAAUCGGCACUAGCACUCAUAGUACUACCACUUCUUCACCCGAUGGUCCUGGUGAUGGAGGAUGCAACAACAAUAAUCCCAAAGGGUUCAUGGCCACAACCGGGGCCGACUACGGCGUUGCAGGGGGUGGCAAUGAUGGUUGCGGCGGUGCUGGGGACGGCGAUUGCAGUCGCGACAGAAAUAACAAGUCGAUUUCCAUGUCGAAGCGAGCACGGCUGGCGCGGUUGUCGCAUCCAGUUCCGGGGAUCAACUGCCCGCGAUGCGAAUCCACCAACACCAAGUUUUGCUACUUUAAUAACUACUCUCUUACCCAGCCCCGCCACUUCUGCCGCUCCUGCAGCCGCUACUGGACCCGCGGCGGCGUUCUCCGCAACGUGCCCGUCGGCGGGGGGUAUCGUCGCCAUGCCAAGCGUAGGGCCAAGCCCAAGGUGGUGCCAGCCACCUCCCGAGCCUCUACGGUAGGGAAGUCGUCCGUGACACCAACCAUGUCUAGUAGUACCACUUAUGCCACUGGCACCGACAUUUCACCACCAAGAUUGCAAUACCCCAUUUUUGGCAGCACGCCGUCCCACGACAGCCAGUUCAGCGACAUAUUCGACCCAGCUAACCUUGGUCUCGGCUUCCCUGUCAGGCUGCUCUUUGCCGAAAGCGAUGCUUACACGGUGGACGGCUGUGCGCACCACCACCACCACCAUGCCCAUGGGAACGGGAUGGAGCAGUUGUUGGAAGCAUAG
rnacentral:rRNA from 1 species